GAUCGAUUAGGGCAUCUCUAGCUAUAAUCAAGAACGAUCGCAGCUCUUCUCUAUAGUAAAUGAUCCAACCCUCCUCAGUGGUUACAUGGCUGGCUUCUUGAAAAUUCAACUCCCUCAAAUAAUCAGCAGUGUCUGAGAUGGGGUUGGUAACAGCAAGAGAGCGUUCACAUUCCUCAAUGGCUUCUUCAUACCUUUGACAGUAGGAAAUGAGGAGCUUGACAUAAAAGAAAGAGAACUCAAGGUUGGAUGGAGAGAGUUGUGUCGCUCGAUAGGCACAAAAGAGUGCUUCUUGAAUGCAGAGAUUCUUGGCUUUGGGAUCUUCCUCCAAGGAUUCAGAUCUGAAUAACUGGAUGACAGAAUUGAUACGGAGUAAGGCAAGGUUAGCAUCCUUCAUCAAAGAGUCGGCCUUGUCGUAUUCAUGAGAACAGAGUAAUUGCUUAGCCUUCUUGCAUAAGGACCUCAGCUCGCCAUUGACGGAGGAUGAGGAGGAAGAGGAUGGGUCACAAGUCUCUGAGUGGUCCAUGGAAAUCUUGGGGGAGGAGUGGUUUUGUUUUUUCUUUAUGAGAAGGAAGGAAGAGGAUGGUGGUUUCUCUCCUCAGUUCUUGAUUGAUUGAGUUGUGUUUUAUAUCCUCAGCUCUCUUGUUGGUUGUGGAGGAAGAAGAGGAAGGUAAAGGGAGGCGAGGCUGCGAGCCAUGGGGAUGGAGUGAAAGAAGGGGCUUUUGAUUUUCUCUGCUCUCAAGGAGGACGGUGGUGGUUUGUUUUUUAUCAGUUCUUGAAGAUGGUUACAUAUCCUCAGAGGCCAGCAUCAAAUGGUUAGUUUAAAAGGCAGAGGAGGGCGCUAAACCGGACUUCUGAACCGGGCCCAUGACAGUUACAAUGGGCGCUUUAGCUUCAUUUCAAGUGAGGCGGGACCCGGCAUAAGAAGGAAGGAGGAGGGUGGUGAUUUGUUUUUUCAGCUCUUGGUCGAACGGUUAGUUUAAAGAGGUAGAGGAAAAUGCUGAACGGGAUAUAUCAACCCGGUCGGUGACGGUUAUAACGAACGGUUCAGGUUGAUAUUCGAGUGUUGGCUUGGAACCUUCUGCUUUCCUAUAUAAGGGAAUAAGAAGUACUAGUUGAGGGGGGCACCAGGCUGGGUUGACAUUGAAUUUUUGAGUUUUGUUUUAGUUCUUUAUUCUUCGCUAAUUCAUCUGCAACUUGCUGACCUUAAGAGAUGACAAGUACUUAAUUGAGAAAUUUUUACUCCGUCAAGAACCUGUGACCAUCAUCAGCUCUGAUGUUGAAGGAAAUCUGGAAGAAAUACUAGAUCACUGGAUGACCAACUCAACCUGAUUGAUGCUGCUCCACAUAGCAAUAGAGUAUCAAGCUGUGCGGCUGCUGCAUUCAGGUACCUUGGAUUAUGGUUUUUGUGAUUUUGGUCCGCGAUGUCUAUAUGUAUUUUGAAAGAAGUCACUCAAAUCUUGAUAUUAUGAAACAAGUCCUAUAAAUUCCAUUAGUUACCCCGAAAUUAGUCCAUGGUCCAUGUUACCCUUUCCCUGAUAGAAGUUAACUCAGUUUAGAAACCCAUUAUUUGAUAAGCUACCCUUGUUAGCAAUUAGUUAUGGAGGAAAAAGCAGGUUAGGAUUUAAAACCAUUCAACCUUGGUUGUCCAUGGAGUUGUUGAAAAAGCAGAUUUUCGAUGAACAGUGUAUCUGUCGACCGACCUCAAGAUCAGUCGACCGAUGAAACCCUCUGGAAUUGUGAAAAAUUUCUGCUCGGUCGACUGAUAGCUGAUCGGUCGACUGAUAGCUGAUCGGUCGACUGAUAAGCGUUCCUCGGUCGACUGAUAAGCUCGUGUGCAUGCCAAAUUGACCUGCUCCUCCUCCCCCACCCGCCGCCCUCCCUUCCCCUCCCCUCCCACAGCCUUCCCCUUCUCCACCUCCCCCGGCUGCAACCACCCCUCCUUCCAAGUACACUGCUCCUCCCCUCACUCCCUCCUCUCCAUCAACUCCCUCCCCUUCCUCCUCCUCUCCCUCCUCGGUCGACUGAUAGUAACUUUAAGCUCUCAAAUUGACCUACUUCCCCGUCAGAUGAAUGUUUUUCAGCUAAAAAUAUGUUUUGUUUGGUUCUUUUAAUAAAGAUCUAUUUACGACUGGCUACCUGGAUUUGUGAACUGACUUUUUGCAAUCAGAUAGACUAUUGAAUAUCCUGCAGAAACAAGUCUGCAGAUUAUAAUCCAGGCUAUCAAGAGUUGUUGGAGCUUUACGUGUCUGGAGUGAGUUAUGAAGGGACUGAAUCUGUCGAGUGAGCUGGAAGAGCACUGGACCUGUCAGAUGAGAUGGAAGAGUUG